rnacentral:rRNA from 1 species
UACGUAGGGUGCAAGCGUUAAUCGGAAUUACUGGGCGUAAAGCGUGCGCAGGCGGUUUUGUAAGCCAGAUGUGAAAGCCCCGGGCUUAACCUGGGAACUGCAUUUGUGACUGCAUCGCUGGAGUGCGGCAGAGGGGGAUGGAAUUCCGCGUGUAGCAGUGAAAUGCGUAGAUAUGCGGAGGAACACCGAUGGCGAAGGCAAUCCCCUGGGCCUGCACUGACGCUCAUGCACGAAAGCGUGGGGAGCAAACAGG